CAGGUGAUUGCUGAAAAACCUUAAACAGAGUAAGCA
rnacentral:ncRNA from 1 species